UACGUAGGGUGCGAGCGUUAAUCGGAAUUACUGGGCGUAAAGCGUGCGCAGGCGGUUUUGUAAGCCAGAUGUGAAAUCCCCGGGCUUAACCUGGGAAUGGCAUUUGGGACUGCAAGGCUUGAGUGCGGCAGAGGAGACUGGAAUUCCGGGUGUAGCAGUGAAAUGCGUAGAUAUCAGGAGGAACACCGAUGGCGAAGGCAGGUCUCUGGGCUGACACUGACGCUCAUGCACGAAAGCGUGGGGAGCAAACAGG
rnacentral:rRNA from 1 species